rnacentral:rRNA from 1 species
UACGUAGGGGGCAAGCGUUAUCCGGAUUUACUGGGUGUAAAGGGAGCGUAGACGGCAUGGCAAGUCUGAAGUGAAAUGCGGGGGCUCAACCCCUGAACUGCUUUGGAAACUGUCGUGCUUAGAGUGCGGGAGGGGCAAGCGGAAUUCCUAGUGUAGCGGUGAAAUGCGUAGAUAUUAGGAGGAACACCGGUGGCGAAGGCGGCUUGCUGGACCGUAACUGACGUUGAGGCUCGAAGGCGUGGGGAGCAAA